UGAAAUUGAGAAGAAGUGAUGUUGGCGGCUGCUGCUGGUGAAAGAAAUCGAUGCAACGACCAGACAGAGCAGAGAUGUUGAUCUUUACUCAGAAGAAGAUAGAUGCUCGUUGCUGCUGGUUAGACUGGUCUGUGAUGUUCUGGGGGUUACAAAGCAAGGUUUUAUAGAGAGGAUGAUGAGGAAUUGGGGAUUUGCUCUUAAUUGCAGAGAAGAUAGAGGAGAUUUUGAUGGAAGUUAGGGUUUUCUGAGAUGCAGAUGAAGAAAACAGAUUUUCAUGGGUUUUGAGAUGAAUUCGAGCCUCCAUGGGUAUUUGUUGCUGAUUCACGGUGAGAAAGAGAAGAGGAUUAAUUCUGGGGUUUGUAGUGAUGAAAUUGGAGAUGGGUUUGAUUGUUGAGUCUUCCCUGAGCUGAAAUGGAGAUUUGGGCUCACUGCUGUUGAUACAAGGAUGAACAUAUGGAGGAAUUGGUUCCGAUUCAGGUGAACUUAGGGUUGUUUGAGUGAAAAAUUGAGAACUGAAGAAUGGGUUUGGUGUAAUGGCAGUGGCUUGUAAAUUGGUGAAGGAGAUAUGGUGUUACAGAUGUUGCUGUGGAAGUUUGCAGUGAUAGAUUGCAGUUCUUAGUGUAUUGUGGAAAUGGGUUCAGCUGAAUUGAGGCAAUGCAGAGAAGAGCUCAGAUCUGUGGUUAGUAAAUCUGGUGGAUUAGUGGAGAAGGAAUUUUGGGUUUUUAAGAAGAUGAUGCUUCCGAAGUUUGAGAAGAAACUGAACCGAGUGAACUCUGGUGGUGAUAUUAAAUGAGUCCUGGUGGUGAACUGAAGUUCUGAAGCUGAAAUUGUUGGUUUGGUUGAUGAGCAGAUGGGUUUGAGAAGAUGCAGUUGUUGCUAUAGGUGUUUUGGUGAUUGCAUUUCACAGUGGUUGAAGUGAUGAAGCUCUGUGGUGUUAUGAAGGAUUUAGAUGAAUGUUAGGUGGUCUGCAGUAUGAGCUAUUGUGCUACAGGGAUUUAGAGAUGAAUAAGCUGCAUAGGUUUGUUGUUGCUUGUUUCUGUUGAGGACUGAGAUGUGGCAGUGAAGCCAUGGAAUUGCAGGUGGUCUGGAAUUGAGUUUGAGAGUGAAGUCUCUAAGCAAGAGAAGGUGGGGUUGCUGCUUUUGUUUCAGCUGGAAGCAAAGAAUGGUCCUGGAGGUCUGAAUUCGCAGUGCAAGAGUUGAAGUUGAUGCUGUUCAAGACAGAGUUGGUGGUAGAUAUUACAGGUGCAAUGAAUGUAUGAGGUUGUAGCUGACAUUAUGGGAAAUUGCAGGCGCAAGUGAAGCAGCUGCAGUUGCAGUCAAAUUCAUGGUGUUGCAGUUAAGAAUUUAAAUGGCAGUCUCAGGUGUUUGUGGUGUGAUGUGACUCAUGAAUUGUAGAAUGAGCAAAUGGAUCUGGUGGAUGUUUACGAAGGGUUCUGAGAAGCAGCAAUGAAGUGGAGCUGGUGUUUAGCAGUGGGUUUAGUUAUUUUCAAAUUCAAGUACUGUAUGAAUGCUCUGAGCUCGGCAUUGCAGGUGGAGUUGGCUGAAUGCAUUGGUGCUGAAUUGAAGUAGCGGAAUGAAGUUGCAGCUACAGUCGCAGAGGAGACCAGUGGAUUACUAAUGAAGAUUUAUGUGGAUUACUUGUCGGGUCGCUGUUAAAGAAGCAAUAGCUCAUGAACUGAUGAAGAAAUGAGUGAAUGUGACACUGUUUUGAUGGUGUUCGAGUCCAGAGUGCAAAUGGGUUUGCUGUGGUUGUUUUGUUGCAGUAACCAGGAGUUGCAGUUGCAGGGUUCAAGCUAUUGGUGGUUAUGGCAUGGAUAGAGACCCAUAGAUGUUGUGAUGGUGUUGGUGCAGUAGCCGGUGGUAUCGCAGGUGAUUUAGUAGUUGGAACUGAUGUCGUGGAUUCACAACGGAGGUGGUGGAAAAAAUAGCGGGCGUGACUGGUUUUUACUUAAGGUGGCGGAUAUUAGUGAAUAGUAGUGAACAAUAAUAGUUUCGUGUCUUUACAAAUGGGCGACAUUUUAUUGUCAUAGAUGUAGUUGGUUGCACAAAUAUUUUGAGGAGGAUACUAAAUCAUAUAAGACAAUAUGAUCAUG